rnacentral:rRNA from 1 species
CCUACGGGGAAGCAGCAGUGGGGAAUAUUGGGCAAUGGGCGCAAGCCUGACCCAGCAACGCCGCGUGAAGGAAGAAGGCUUUCGGGUUGUAAACUUCUUUUAAGGGGGAAGAGCAGAAGACGGUACCCCUCGAAUAAGCCACGGCUAACUACGUGCCAGCAGCCGCGGUAAUACGUAGGUGGCAAGCGUUGUCCGGAUUUACUGGGUGGAAAGGGCGUGCAGCCGGAGAGACAAGUCAGAUGUGAAAUCCACGGGCUCAACCCGUGAACUGCAUUUGAAACUGUUUCCCUUGAGUGUCGGAGAGGUAAUCGGAAUUCCUUGUGUAGCGGUGAAAUGCGUAGAUAUAAGGAAGAACACCAGUGGCGAAGGCGGAUUACUGGACGAUAACUGACGGUGAGGCGCGAAAGCGUGGGGAGCAAACAGGAUUAGAUACCCUAGUAGUC